GUCUGGAUGGCUAGGCCUCCCUUCCGCUGGGGUCAAGUCCCCACCCCUGAAUGUAAUGAACUAAGCAUAGGUUAAUCUCCUGCAGGCCGAGGACCAUGCUGGGCACGGCAGAGAGGCAGAGGGUGUUCAGAGCAGCCUCUCCUUUCAUCAGCCUGUGGAGAAGAGGAAGGGAAAAUUGUGUUUACAGUUCUGCCUCAUGCUCAGCCCUGUGCCAGGGCAUCACUGAGAUUUUAUUUCAUGUGAAAAACACUGCUCUAACCUGGUGUCAUUCUUUCUGUUUUAUAGAGAAAGAAACUAAGGCUCAGGGAUGCUCCAUAAGUGGCCCAAGCCAUGGCUGAGAGAGGGUGGGCCAGACGUUUAUAAAGGAGGAUGAUGAAACCCAGCCCGGCCCCUGUGACGCUCUUGGUUUUGAUCCAUGGCAUUAAAGCAAGGUGCUGGGAUGAUCUAGAAGAGCUUAAGAGGCUCUCAUCUCCCAGUCUGAAGACUUGGUCUUUCUCCUUCGAGGUUACAGUGGCUGAUGCAGCUGGGCGAGGAGCAGCUCUUGGGCCUGGGAGGGGAACUUCUCACUACUGGGAACUCCGACUCCACACGGCUGAAGAAGCUGGAAAUGGAUCUCUAUGGCUUUGAGCCACUGCAGUUUCAAAUCUGCUGAUGACAGUGGCUGAGCCUACGCUAACACACACAGAAGUUCUGCCAACAAUAAUCACUCUGGGACAUAACCACAGACUGUCUUUCACUGAUACAUACGUGAGGUGCGUGUACCUGCAAUAGCUUCACCUAAAUUCUAAGGCCUGGAAGAGAAGGGCCGCUUAUGCUUCAGUAUUUAGGACAGCAUUUGCCCUUAGUUAUGAAAGCAUUUGUGUAAGUUCUGGGUUCCUUCUUCCUUAAAUGCUUGAAAGGUUUCACUGGCAAACUUUUCUGGCCUGAAUUUGUGGGUGUGAAGGUUUUCAAUCACAUACUUAAUUUCUCUAAUACUUAUUGAAAGUAAUCUGAUUUGUUUGAUUACGCCACUCUAAAGCACAAUCUUUAAAAAGCUGGACUUUUCUGGGAAUCUGUCUGUCUUAUGUAAUUAUUCAAAUUCACUGACUGACGUAAUUGUUCUGUUAGAGGUUUUAUGAGCUGCAUGGUCUGUACCGAUGUUGCCUUUUUUGUUAUCUUGGUAACUGAAAUAGUCUUUCUUUCCUUUUUCAAAAAAUCAGUCUCUCCAGGGGUUAAAGUAUUUAUUUAAUUAAUUAUUCAUUUAAUGUUUUAAGAAGCAACUCUUGACUUGAUAACUGUCUCUACUAAGCACUUGCUUCUAUUUCACUAAUUUCUGCUUGUGUACUUAUGUUGUUUUCUAAUUCUUGUAUUGAAGCACUUAGCAUGGUUCCGGGUAGAUAGUAACUUCCCUGUAAAUGUUAGCAUCACUACUGUAAAGAAAUGUCUCAAUUCAGGGUGUCUGUUGUACGAUAUUAUUAAACAUGAGAACUUCUACAACUUCUCUGGUGAUGAGAUCUUAGAAAACAUUAAAUCCAUUUGUCCCAUUCAAACUCUUACUAUUAUCAUUAUACACUUAAGUCUGUGUGUAUUUGAAAGCAUAUAUCAUUAUUAAUGUGUAAAAUUAACAUUUAUAUUUAUUAAUAUGAAU
rnacentral:lncRNA from 13 species